CCGUUGGUGAACCAGCGGAGGGAUCAUUACCGAGUUUACAACUCCCAAACCCAAUGUGAACGUUACCAAACUGUUGCCUCGGCGGGAUCUCUGCCCCGGGUGCGUCGCAGCCCCGGACCAAGGCGCCCGCCGGAGGACCAACCAAAACUCUUAUUGUAUACCCCCUCGCGGGUUUUUUUAUAAUCUGAGCCUUCUCGGCGCCUCUCGUAGGCGUUUCGAAAAUGAAUCAAAACUUUCAACAACGGAUCUCUUGGUUCUGGCAUCGAUGAAGAACGCAGCGAAAUGCGAUAAGUAAUGUGAAUUGCAGAAUUCAGUGAAUCAUCGAAUCUUUGAACGCACAUUGCGCCCGCCAGUAUUCUGGCGGGCAUGCCUGUCCGAGCGUCAUUUCAACCCUCGAACCCCUCCGGGGGGUCGGCGUUGGGGAUCGGCCCUGCCUUGGCGGUGGCCGUCUCCGAAAUACAGUGGCGGUCUCGCCGCAGCCUCUCCUGCGCAGUAGUUUGCACACUCGCAUCGGGAGCGCGGCGCGUCCACAGCCGUUAAACACCCAACUUCUGAAAUGUUGACCUCGGAUCAGGUAGGAAUACCCGCUGAACUUAAGCAUA
rnacentral:rRNA from 1 species